UACAGAGGGUGCAAGCGUUAAUCGGAAUUACUGGGCGUAAAGCGCGCGUAGGUGGUUUGUUAAGUUGAAUGUGAAAUCCCCGGGCUCAACCUGGGAACUGCAUCCAAAACUGGCAAGCUAGAGUAUGGUAGAGGGUGGUGGAAUUUCCUGUGUAGUGGUGAAAUGCGUAGAUAUAGGAAGGAACACCAGUGGCGAAGGCGACCACCUGGACUGAUACUGACACUGAGGUGCGAAAGCGUGGGGAGCAAACAGG
rnacentral:rRNA from 1 species